rnacentral:lncRNA from 1 species
AAUUCAAGAUGGUAUUUUAAAAAAAAACCUCAUAUCUUUUUUCUUUUCUUUAGCCUUCAGUUUAUUCCACAAAUUAAUAAGUAGAAUGAGCCCUGAAACUUCAGUGACUCCUCCCUAUAAAAGCGACAUCUGAAUUUUGCAACCGGCGAAGCUGGGUCAUUGAAUUUUUAUGGCCUAUUUCUCCAUGCCUCUGAUGUAACACAAAGGAGAGCUGUGUCUCCCAGUGCUUUGUCUUGGGUGCCAGAGAUGGUCUCCUGUCUCAGCAUCACCCUUCUGUCUCUCCUGGGAGUACACAUCUUCUGAAUUAGCACUUAAUGCCCAGAGCAUGCCCAGGUCAUCUAGAGAGUAAAAUUGCAAAAUCACAUCAGUUCUCUGGACAUCAUUACUUUGAGGAGGCAUGUCUGGCUACUGAGCAAAUAGAAACCAGUAUACAGCUCUCCAGACAUUUCUCCAUAACCAAGAGGCUAAGAGCCUUGCUGAAGGCCUUCAUUCUCAGUUGCUCGAUCCUUUCCAACAGACCAGAAAUUAGCCUUUCAACUUAGGUCAAUGAUACACAUUUGUUUGGCCAACAACGCAGGCAGUGGAGUGUGGUGCAGGCUCUUGAGAAUCGAUCUACACUGACAAGUGAUCCUAAAUUGCUGCUGCCAACAUCAGUUCUACUUUUGUGGGCUCCUGGUAGAAAAUAUGAAAACCAGUCUUGUCCCUCUCGAUAAGUAUCUCUAUUAUUAUCAUCGUUAUUUGGAGGAAUUUUAAAAACGUGCUGUGUUUUGCAAAAGGGUGCAAGCUGCCAAAUGCCCUGCAUGAGAUGGAGGGUUACUCAUCCAGCACUGUCAGUUUUUCUCAUUGACUUUGGCAGAAAGGUCCGUUUCAGCAGGGAAGAAUCAGCACGUCAGCUGAGACAUGUGAUCUGUUCUCAGCGUCACUGCUAGUGCCAACUCGUAGGAAAUUAGGCGCCUAACUUAUUAAUAGUGAUGAAUCCAUUAGAGUUGACAGGCGCCUGGCUGUGCUGCCGCGGAUUAACUGUGAGUGGUCAGAAGCACUGUUGGUGAACAAGUGCAGAGUCAGAUAAUUAGAGGACCUGCUACUUCUCUCCAGGCUGUUCCAAAAUGUAGAGUUUAGGAAUUGAAUAGACAAAGAUGCAUACAGUGUCUGAGAUUAAUGAUCUGAGCUAAAAUUAGAAAUAUUUAUGGCUUGGCACAAAACCUUAAGUUACUGUAAAAACAGAACAUUAAAAAAAAACCCCUUUUACAACUUGGCAUAAUUGGACUCCUCCUUUUUGUUUGAAACACUUUCCCUUAAUGGCAUGGGGUAUGCGACAGAAAAUGCCAGAAUUCCACCCCUGGGUUGGUCCGUCUGUUGGCGGCAUGCCCACCUGCUUUGAAAUCUAGUUAAUUGAAAUUACCACACAAAUACCUGAAUGAUUUUGAAAAGUCAUUAAUGUGUUUCAAGCCAUAUGCGUACACUUAACAAAGAUAAGGUCACCACUUUAACAGGACACAAACAUGCCUUGAGAUGGGGGCAUGAACUGGGUCUGUGGAGACGUUUACAAGUAGGUAUAUGAGCAGGAGCACCGAAUGCCCUCCUGUUUGAUAAACACAAAGCAACUCAGAACCUGGCUGAGCGAGACACUAAGUUUUGUCUGCAGUGCAGUGUGGCAUUUUGUGAUUACCUUAAAUAAUAUGACUUUCUUUAUCUACAGCAAACAGGAUUUUAUUUAUUUAUUUAUUUAUUUAUUUAUUCAUUCAUUUUGAGAUGGAGUCCUGCUCUGUCACCCAGGAUGGAGUGCAGUGGCAUGAUCUCUGCUCACUGCAAGCUCCCCCUCCCGGGUUCAAGCCAUUUUCCUGCCUCAGCCUCCCGAGUAGCUGGGACUACAGGUGCCCGCCACCGCGCCCGGCUAAUUUUUGUAUUUUUAGUAGACACGGGUUUCACUGUGUUAGCCAGGAUGGUCUCGAUCUCCUGACCUCGUGAUCCAUCCGCCUCGGCCUCCCAAAGUGCUGGGUAAUGAACCCCCCAGUGGUCCGCUUUAAAUCCUGGUAUCACUCGUUCUCGGUAUAUUCAGAAAUUUGAGAUUAUAGAAUUUGUAGCACAGGAGAAUAAUUCGUCUAAAGGAUACAGAGGCGGAGGUUGUGGCAAGCCGAGGUCAUACUAUAAAUUCCAAAAUGCUGCCAAGCUGCACUUUUUUUACACCAUAUUCCUAGAGCUUCAUGCGGGCAGGGCCCGUGUCUGCAUUCUUCACCAACAUAUCCCACCUUGCACAGUUAAGUAUUUUUUGAAGAAAUGAACGACAUCUCUUAAAGACACAGAACACCGAAGCAACAGAAGCUCUUUCCUUAACCAGUUGCUUCCAUCGGCUCCACCUAUAAUGAGAAAUGCUUAGAGCUGAUGCUGCAGUUUGGACAGGUGAAUGAUGAAGAUUGUGGAUGGGCCUUAUUUCCAAUUGCUAAUAGUAAAAGUAAAUACAAGAAUAUUUAGCACCCAACAAAGUAAAGUUUCCAACAAAGAUUAACAGACCUAU